GAUGCAUGAUGACAAAAUGUUUCGGUCCCAAAUGACAUUCCGUGAUAUGACUGCUGCAUUUUCCUGAUGUC